ensembl:lncRNA
CUGACGUCCUGUGUUCCGUCCAUUAUGAGGGAAUACUGCAGCACAGGGAUGCUCUCUCUGCAGCCAGCUUGCAAGGUUGGGGUCAUCCUCCGCCUUAUCUCGCAGAUAAUUUUGGAAGUUUCCAUCCAAAUUGUCAUGGCCUCUAAGAGUCAAGCCCUGUUUGGAGAGGUCUUUCUCAAGACAUUUGAGGGCCUCACCUCGUCAUGCUCAUCUGCCUGUUCCUGCAUUUCUUGGACAUGGGUCCGGUUCCUGACAGACCAUGUAAAAAUUGAAUGUAACUUGUUUCAAUGUAUUGAAUCAUACUUUAAUUUCACAGGGUGAGAUAUUGUUGUUCAUGUAGUGUUGCUUGUUUUAAUGGAAAUCUGUCAAUUAACACACAAGUUUGUUUUUCUAGGGUGACUGAGUACUGUGAGCGGCCAAUAAUGGGAAAAUGUCCUUGUGACGAGUCCAUCCAGUUACGUGUUGACUUCACCUCUCCAUUGUCCUCAUCCACAAUUUCCUGCCAUUCACCAAGUUCUGAUUGACUUAGUUCCUCUCCCU